rnacentral:rRNA from 1 species
UUUUCCGGUUGAUCCCGCCGGACCUGACUGCUAUCGGAUUGAUACUAAGCCAUGCGAGUCUUUGUAGUAAUACAAGGCAGACGGCUCAGUAACACGUAGUCAACCUACCCUAUGGACAAGAAUAAUCUCGGGAAACUGGGCAUAAUUCUUGAUAGAUCAUAAUGCCUGGAAUGGUUUAUGGUUAAAAUGAUUCGUCGCCAUAGGAUGGGACUGCGGCCUAUCAGCUUGUUGGUGAGGUAAUGGCCCACCAAGGCGAUUACAGGUACGGGCUCUGAGAGGAGAAGCCCGGAGAUGGGUACUGAGACACGGACCCAGGCCCUAUGGGGCGCAGCAGGCGAGAAAACUUUGCAAUGUGCGAAAGCACGACAAGGUUAAUCCGAGUGAUUUCUGCUAAAGAAAUCUUUUGCCAGUCAUAAAACCACUGGUGAAUAAGGGGUGGGCAAGUUCUGGUGUCAGCCGCCGCGGUAAAACCAGCACCUCAAGUGGUCAGGAUGAUUAUUGGGCCUAAAGCAUCCGUAGCCGGCUCUGUUAGUUUUCGGUUAAAUCCAUGUGCUCAACGCAUGGGCUGCCGAAAAUACUGCAUGGCUAGGGAGUGGGAGAGGUAGACGGUACUCAGUAGGAAGGGGUAAAAUCCUUUGAUCUAUUGAUGACCACCUGUGGCGAAGGCGGUCUACCAGAACACGUUCGACGGUGAGGGAUGAAAGCUGGGGGAGCAAACCGGAUUAGAUACCCGGGUAGUCCCAGCUGUAAACGAUGCAGACUCGAUGAUGCAUUGGCAUAAUAGCCAGUGCAGUGUCGCAGGGAAGCCGUUAAGUCUGCCGCCUGGGAAGUACGUACGCAAGUAUGAAACUUAAAGGAAUUGGCGGGGGAGCACCACAAGGGGUGAAGCCUGCGGUUCAAUUGGAUUCAACGCCGGG